rnacentral:rRNA from 1 species
UACGGAGGGUGCAAGCGUUAUCCGGAUUCACUGGGUUUAAAGGGUGCGUAGGUGGGUUGGUAAGUCAGUGGUGAAAUCUCCAGGCUUAACUUGGGAACUGCCAUUGAUACUAUCAGUCUUGAAUACCGUGGAGGUCAGCGGAAUAUGUCAUGUAGCGGUGAAAUGCUUAGAUAUGACAUAGAACACCAAUUGCGAAGGCAGCUGGCUACACGAAUAUUGACACUGAGGCACGAAAGCGUGGGGAUCAAACAGG